rnacentral:snRNA from 1 species
AAAAGAUAAAAACAAGUUUUGAC